rnacentral:rRNA from 1 species
UACAGAGGGGGCAAGCGUUGUUCGGAAUUACUGGGCGUAAAGGGCGCGUAGGCGGCCUUCUAAGUCGAACGUGAAAUCCCUCGGCUUAACCGGGGAACUGCGUCUGAUACUGGAUGGCUUGAGUUUGGGAGAGGGAUGCGGAAUUCCAGGUGUAGCGGUGAAAUGCGUAGAUAUCGAGAGGAACACCUGCGGCGAAGGCGGGUUGCUGGGCUGACACUGACGCUGAUGCGCGAAAGCCAGGGGAGCGAACGGG